rnacentral:ncRNA from 1 species
AUUUCAACGUUGAUAAGGAGCAGUAGUGAUGAAGAUCCGCAUUAGAGAGUUGACGGUCGGUGCAAGUCAACCGGAAAUCAUCAUGAACUCGCCUUUGAGUUGCAGGCGUGAACCAAAGUAGUGCCUGCCGUUUUCCGCGUUAAGGAUGGAAUCAAGUGAGUGCGUGUACACUAAUCUGGGUGGUACCGCGGGAGAUUAUCAAAGACCUCUCGUCCCAAUU